UGGAAUGGAAUACUAUUCCCACUGCCCGCUAUACACGUGUAAAUAAUAAACUAAGUAUUACUUAAUAAUAAAAUAUAUUAUAAUGAAAAUUUAGGAAAAAGUAUUUAUUAAUUAUAAUAAAUUAAGAAUUAAUUAAAAAUCACAUUGAGUAAAAUUGAUAUUACAACUAAUGUGGAACUGGAUCGAAAAAUAUAAAAUAAUUCUCAUUAUAAUAAUUUAAUUGAGAAAUCUACCGCCAUAUAUUUAAAAAUUAAUUUCACUUUUAAUAGCACCUAAUAGCUAAUUUUUUGUUCAAGGAGAUUAUUUUACUUUACGGCGGUAUUAUUUAUCCAAACUUCAUAUAUAAAAAUGAUGGAUUUUAAAUAAAUUA
rnacentral:rRNA from 1 species